CAACGACUUGUAACGGACGUUCUCGUACAUGUUUUUCAUGCGAGAAGUCAAUGUAUAGUCGGACAGUCUUACGGACACCCGUCUGUCUGCUUGCGACCCCAAGUUAACCAACAAAAGCACGUGCGUUCUGUAGUAACACAUCCUGGGACUUCACACAUCAGAAGUACUGUGUCAGUAAGCUUUAUUUUGAUCUAGCUUCCAUGUUCUUUUCCAAACGUCUGCUUGUUUUCUAACGUCCUCGAUACAUACGUCAAUACCGGUUGACGUCAAUCUCUCUUGUGGUGUCAUUCUCUCUUGUGAUGUCAUUCUCUUUUGUGAUGUCAUUUCCUAUGACCUCAGCUGAACUCUGAUCUAGUACUGCUACAGGACCGAUUUUUCACAAAGCCUGAACGUGAAAAUAUUCUUCAGAUCGCAAGGACGCCGGAUACUUUAGAAUAAUCUACCCGACACUUCACCGGAUGAUGGCUCUGUUCUUGUGUGGUUUGUGGCUGUAACAAGAAGGACUGAACAGUGAACCAAAUCUAUGUCAAGAUCACUGACGACAACCAUGGGCUUGAGUACGAAGAAGGUUCUGAAAUGUGAAAAGAUUUCUUUAACACCUAAUUAUAGAGUACACUAAAAUACAGCCAAGUAAUUUACUAAAAGCAUUUAUUUUUCUCCAUGUUUGUGUUUUACAGCGCCAAUAUAUAUAUAAUGCUGCUAAAUACUAAAGUUUAUAGCAUAUACCAGCCACAAGUAGAUGUAAACGU